AUGCGACUGGACAGUCCUGAACAGAAGUGCAUAUGUAAGUACGCAAAUUCAGGUUUUACGAGAUCAAAGACCUACGUCCUUUUGGGAGUUCCCAAAAAUAAAAGGUACCUUUGUUUAAAAUAUUAAUUAAAACUGAUCUGCAUAGAUCUUAUUUUUAUCGUAAAGGUGUUUGGAAAAUUGGCACAUUCAGUUCAAAGUUCUGGCCGCUAUCGCAGUAUGAUUAAAGAUUUCUUAGGCUAUUUUUACUUAGGUAAAGUCCUUGGCGAAUUCGUUUAUUCAUGGUAAUGUCUUAAUUAUAUAUUCGAACCUACAUUAUUUAAUUUGCUAUUAUGGCCACAUCCUUCAAUACUCAUAACCCAUUCUUACCUUUUUAACGACCCUAGCAAAUACAACUGUAACACUUUAUCUGUACUUAAAAAAAAGCAGAUGGCGUUCCUUAUAUAAAUAGAGGAUAAAUAACUUCGAAAUAAUUUGGAAUGAAUAUAUUGAUAUUGUACAGUAAACUAUAAAUUAUUUUAAAGAAUAAUUACCCGUUAUUUAUCACACAUUGAUUGGUAUGAGUUAUUCUUCUACAUCUGCUCAACUUUUCAUGUUUCGUUAGCAGCUCUCGGGCGAUAACAGCCUUGUGUGUCUUUUUUCCUGUAAUCUCGUGACGAGCGAUUGAUCGAAAUAGGACCUAUAACUUUUCAGCGGUAAAAUAUUACUAAGAUUUUACUAUUUUUAUAUUUUUUUUACUAUUCUCUACUAUUAUAAUCUUUAAUUGUCGAUACAAUUUUACUUUCUACACCACUGUACUACUCUUCGUGUAAUUUAAUACUGCCUAUUAAAUUGAAGCUAGAUUUUGUCGACAUAAAACCACGCUCUAUUAUAACUUCAGCGUGUGACAGUACUUCAAAGACUUCAGGUCAUCUGAGGUGACCUAAAUAGUCAAUAGAUAUUGUUUACCGACUUUGAAAGGAGACGACUUUUAGUCUUGAUAUUCACGGUGCCAUUACCUAUUACACCUACUUUUAUAUUAUUUUGCAGAUUUUCGUCUUUAUUAUUAUUACGUUGCAGCAUAGCAUUAAUGAGAAAACAUUGGGGGACGAAAAUAGAAUACGCGAAGAUCCCUCUAUAAAAGAUAGAAUAGAAAGCUUCUUUUCUGUCGGUAAAUGUUUGUUUCAGAGAGCCCAACGUCUUUGUGAUGCUGCCCACGUCGAGGAGGAACUACAGCAUGUGCUACUAAACAGGUGCUACACCGAAACAAAAACAAGACACGAACAGUUCCGCGCCAGCCAACCUACCUACCCUAUUGAAAGGGAGUUACAGAUAGAAUUAGCCGGAUCCUAAAAUGAGCUUCUAUUAAUACAAUUUUCAAGCCGCACAAGAAGAUUCAGCAAUUCCUUAGGAAUACCAAUCAAAAGUAACACCCCGUUGCAAGAUGCAGCCUGGAAAUUCAAAAUUCUCUGAACGUGUCUUCGAAAGUCUGGACUCGCCCGAAAAUGCUUAACGAAACGAAAGGAAAGUUGGUCGGUUAAGCCUGCGAUCGCGGGUUCGGAUUCCCGGCACCGCAGAAGGGCCAACCUAGACUGUUUGGGCAACUCCGCACAGCACGCGUUGAAGCAUUGAAGCGUCGCCCGUCGCUGAUUCAAGUCCAGAUUGGUAUUUCUGCUCAGCUGGAGAAAA